GACGAACGCUGGCGGCGUGCCUAAUACAUGCAAGUCGAGCGAAGCGGCGGAUGGGGGAGUAACGCGUGGGUAACCUGCCCUUAAGUCUGGGAUACCAUUUGGAAACAGAUGCUAAUACCGGAUACUAAAGGAUGGACCUGCGAUGCAUUAGCUAGUUGGUAAGGUAACGGCUUACCAAGGCGAUGAUGCGGAGACGGGUUGAGAGACUGAUCGGCCAAACUGGGACAGUGACACUGCCCAACCUCCUACGGUAGGACGCAGGGGGGAAUCGUGCACAAUGGAAGAAAGUCUGAUGGAGCAAUGCCGCGUCGGUGAAGAAGGGUUUCGGGUUGUAGAGUUGUAUUGUUGGUGAAGCGGUAAUCAACGAAGAAGUCACGGCUAACUACGUGCCAGCAGCCGCGGUAAUAC
rnacentral:rRNA from 1 species